AGAACGAACGCUGGCGGUAUGCCUAACACAUGCAAGUCGAACGAGAAAGUGAUCUUCGGAUCGCGAGUAGAGUGGCGCACGGGUGAGUAACACGUGGAUAACCUGCCCUAUGGUCAGGGAUAACACUUCGAAAGGGGUGCUAAUACCUGAUAAGCCUACGACUUCUUCGGGAGCUGUAGGAAAAGAUUUAUUGCCAUAGGAUGGGUCCGCGGUCCAUUAGCUAGUUGGUGGGGUAAUGGCCUACCAAGGCUACGAUGGAUAGCUGGUCUGAGAGGAUGAUCAGCCACACUGGAACUGAGACACGGUCCAGACUCCUACGGGAGGCAGCAGUGGGGAAUUUUGCGCAAUGGACGAAAGUCUGACGCAGCAAUACCGCGUGAAGGAUGAAGGCCCUUGGGUCGUAAACUUCUGUCAGUGGGGAAGAAAUACUCGUAAGAGUGCUGACGGUACCCACAAAGGAAGCACCGGCUAACUCCGUGCCAGCAGCCGCGGUAAUACGGAGGGUGCAAGCGUUGUUCGGAAUUAUUGGGCGUAAAGAGCAUGUAGGCGGACUAUUAAGUCUGGUGUGAAAGCCCGGGGCUCAACCCCGGAAGUGCAUUGGAUACUGGUAGUCUUGAGUAUGGGAGAGGAAAGUGGAAUUCCGAGUGUAGGAGUGAAAUCCGUAGAUAUUCGGAGGAACACCAGUGGCGAAGGCGGCUUUCUGGACCAAUACUGACGCUGAGAUGCGAAAGCGUGGGGAGCGAACAGGAUUAGAUACCCUGGUAGUCCACGCCGUAAACGAUGGGCACUAGGUGUUGCGGGUAACCACUCCUGCAGUGCCGUAGCUAACGCAUUAAGUGCCCCGCCUGGGGAGUACGGCCGCAAGGCUA
rnacentral:rRNA from 1 species